AGGAAAUGUUUAGAGAGAUCUGGGCAAAUAGCUCUGUUUGAAUUUAGGAAAUCUGGUCAGCACGGACGAGUUGGGCCAAUAAGCCUGUUUCCAUGCUGUAUGACUCUACAACAUGUGACUGAUAUACAAGCAUAAAAAAUGUUUACAUGGGCAUGCUCAAGAUUCCCAGCCAUUAUGCUGUCUAUGAGGAGGUCCACUCUCCUAGAUCACCUUGUAUUUCAAACUAGAACUAGCCAUCCAUAUGGGUCCCAAACAAUGAGACAUGGGAAAAAAGACAAUAAAAGACAUACGAGUAUCAAAUGUGGGAUCAGACAAGAGAUGAGGAGGUACUUCAGACACCUGAACACAUCUGGAGGCACUGUUCAGGGACACUAACCAGGAUAUUCUAUUGAUCACCAUGUUCUACAUAUCUGUGCAGAGUAGCAACACUUGUAUCUACGGGAAGAACAGGCUGCAGAGCAGCUUCUCACAGUUCAGAGCAGGAACAAUAGGGGUAAGUUUGGUCACUGGGACACUGUGAACAUAUGGGAUACUGACUAAAGGAAAGGGUGGCUAAUGUAAGAAACGUGGAAGCCAAGUCCAGAAUUUCAUGUCUCCUUUCUCCAUCAGCCCUCUCAUGUUGGGGCUGCUCUUCCUGCUAUCACUGAGCUGACAAGCACUUUGGUCUGAACAACCAAGGCUAGGAUAUCAUAACUCCUAUUUCGAUGUGGUAUUCAUGGUACAUCAAUCAUUGGCAUCCUCAUCUAUUGCUGUGUAUGAUGCCCCAAUGUAGCAGCCUCUCUUUUGAGGGAUAGAAUUAUCAUUGCAAAAGCCUGCAACAUCAAGCCCCUCAUGUUUGAGAUAGAUUCCUCCAAUCUCUCUUCAAGUACACAGAGUGUGGCUGGAGCCACACUUGCCAAUGCCAAUGCAUCACACGUUUGCUGCUGUUCCAGGAGUAUUCUCUUCAUCAAUGACUCCCGUAGUCCACAUUCAGCCGUGUAGAACUUGAAGCAUCCAUGGACCACUCACCUGGACUCUGAUCCCUGGACCAACUGUAUGUAAUGUUUGAACAGGAGGCUGGAAGUAAGUGCAAGGAACAAGGAAUUCAAGCCAAUGUCUCCAAUCAAAGAACACAAUCCAAUAAUGUCAGACCAUGUACAGCGUGUGAAAAUCCAGUUUUGUCAAACCACAAGGACUCCACAGAAGAUAAAUACUGAUAUUGAAUGAAUUUAAUUGCUGCUUUAACAUUUCAUUAAGAGCUUUGGUUUCCACAAAGAAGAAGUGACAGCUUCGCAACCCAGAAAAAUAACAUAAAGGAAAAUCUCUGGAAAUUAUUGAUUAUUCUGUCUUUAUUGGAAUAAAAGGGACAUCUAAAUUCAAUUACUGUCAUCUAAAACUCAACUAUGUCCACACCAUGAACUAGAGCAUAGGUGAGCUUUGCAUGCAAACUGAAGAAGAAAAUCUAACAAGCAACAUUUAUUAUGCGAGAUAUUUCAGGGAGGCCAGCUUUAAGAAGUGUUACGUCCUCCAGAUUUAUGGGUCCUCUCAAUAUUGCGAUUGAAUCAUGUGCAAUUCAUCACUCAUAAUAAAACAAGGCUCCAAUCACCAAAACACAUUAAACUGGUUCAUCCCCAUUUGAUGUCACCUUGGACCUUCGAUGGAUAAUGUUGCUCACUUAUCGUGAGCAAUCACAACCAGAAAAUUGCAGAACAUUUUGUUUGAUACAACUUAAUUGAGUUUUAAACCAAAGAUUCUAAGGUUGGAUGGACCAUACUUAACAUCUGUGGCUUUUUUUUUAGAGUUCCUAUUAAAAGCACCAGUUUGUUACUUUCAGGCAAAUAAAGUUUGUAGAAAGUAUACAAUCACCAACCAUGUCUCCAGUUAAAGACAAUGCAAUAAAAAGUGUGUUAUUAUUAGUUGGAAACUUAUGUUCUAAGGUUGAAGAAAAGUGGGUUUUAGCUUUAAGCUCUGUGAAAGUCGGAUUUUUUUUAAAUCUGAAAGCCAUAGGGAACAGUGAGCUAAAGACAGUAUUUCUAAGAUGUCAUGUGAUUUUAAUUAAAUGACCAGCAAGUUUUAUGGGAAAACUAUUGCUAAGGUGUUUGCUGACUUGAGUAUUACACCCCAGAGAGAGACAUUCAGAGAGACAAAAUGCAGCAGAGGUGCUGUUUGAUUAAUGAUCUCCAAAACAGCCAGGGAAGAAGGGGAGAAGUCCUGAGUUGCUUAGAAGAAAAGUCUGGAAUGAAAGACUGUAGAGGUGUCAGAGAGGAAAACAUCCUACAAGACUAUUGAAGACGUGAAUUUGAGGAACCCAAAUCUGGUAGUGAUAGUGUGUUGAGUUGACAGCUUCUUUAAAGGUCUUGGGGAAGGUCUUUAAGAGAUUAGCAUUGAAUAAAAUGAAAACUGAUCAGAGAUACGUCAGCUGAAAAGGGAGCUUUAGUAUGCAA